rnacentral:rRNA from 1 species
GACGAACGCUGGCGGCGUGCUUAAUACAUGCAAGUCGAGCGAAAAGAUGAGGCUCUUGCUCUACUCAAGUUACCAGCGGAUGGGUGAGUAACACGUGGACUACCUAGCUCUUCGACUGGAAUCACUUCGGGUAACUGGAGCUACUACCGGAUAAUAUAUUGAACCUCAUGGUUCAAUAGUGUAAGCGGGUUUUGGUGUCCUUUAUGCAUGGCUCCGUGUCGCAUUAGUAAGUUGGUACGGUAACGGCUUACCAAGGCGGCGAUGAGUAGCCGACCUGAGAGCGUGAAGCGCCACUCUGAGACUGAGACACGGUCCAGACUCCUACGGGAGGCAGCGAUAGGGAAGCUUGCGCGAUGGGCGAAAUCUUGACGGAGCAGCGCAGCGUUGAUGAUGAAGGUCUUCGGGGCGUAUGACGCUGUUAGGGUUGAAGAACAAUUGUGUUAGUAACGAUGCACUUCGUGACGGUACCUAGACAGAAAGCCACGGCUAACUACGUG